GAGACGGAGACCAGCGGCGACGACGUGCGCACUGGGAGCGACCGCCGAGCAACCUCACAGGGCGACUGGGGCUAAUAAAUGUUCUGUGGGCGGAGUCCUGCAGCCGCUCAGAUUGCGGUCGCCCCUCCCGCGCACCAGGUGCACCUGCGGACUUGACCCAACCGGCGAGGAAGCUGAUUGAAGACGGUACUCUGGUGGCUCCGCGAGGAGAGACUUUGGUACUUUGGGGGCUCUGAUUCAGGAUUGUGGUCUCCGCUCCCUUAGAUGUGGAUAACAAACGAGCCUAGCGUGAAGGGGACAGCUUCUGCUCCAUUUUUUCUGUUGUGAGAAUACUGCCCCAAUAUUGGCAGGUCUUUUUUUUUUUUUUAAGGUAAUCAGAAAAAUCGAUUUUUAAAUGUAAAAUCUCCAGAUAUUUAGACGUUGGCAAGUAGAUGUUUUUAAACUGUAUGUGCUGAUUAAACUAUACAGAUGGUUUAAUCUGACUUAAGGGAAAGAGGGAAGAGAAGUUCCGGUGUCAGAUACUAGGCACUCCGGCAUUUAGAGAGAGGGUAAAUGGAGAUGGAGAGGGAGCAGCCACGAAGGCAGAAGGAAAUCCACAGUGUUGAGUUGUGAAAUUUAAGGGCAGAGAAGGUUUCAGGUAGGAGGGGUAUGGUCAGUUGUGUCUAGUGCUGCUGAGAGGUAUACUUGGGCUACAGAUAUGGUUUGGAUUGGUCACCUUGGAGAUCACUAAGAGUAUCACUGGUGGCUUUGGCUUGAUUUGUGUUGGUAAAUCAGAAAUCUGGACAUGACUACAGUGCGUUGAAGAGUGAAUGGGGAAGGUGAGAAAAUAGAGACUGCACAUGUAGACAAUGUGAGAGGUUUUCUGUGAAGGGAGCAAAGAAAUGUAGGCAUGACUAGAAGAAUAUGGGGUCAAGAGAUGUUUUAAAAGAUGGUAGGGUUAUAGAGCAUGUUUUUAUGCCAUCGGGAGGAAUACAGUAGAGAGAAGGCUUACUUGACAUACAUAGGAGUAGAAUCCAUGGAAGUAUAUAUGGAAACUAGGAGGAUUGACCUUGUGUAGGAACAGGAUGCUUCCACUGUGAUAAUCAGGGUAACUAAGGUGAAGAUGAUGCAAAUUCAGGGAAAACGAAAAGCAAACUUCCAACUUUCCUAGUAGGACUGCCUUGACAGCAUUGGGUACCCAUUUGAAGUUUAUGAUCAUGAGUGUAAAGUUAAACCAGUUGUCCCAGUGUGUGGUUUUUCUCCAGCAACAUUCAACUGCUUGGGUACAAACAUUAAGAGGGAUAAUUUGGGAUAACCAGGACCCAAAUUAUCUGAUUCUUCAUCUUAGGCACUUGCUUUAUUGAUUAGUUACUGUUGUAGAAAUAUGUGAAAUAUUGUGAAAAUUUACAUGUGACCCCUUUUCUAGGAACUAAAUAAUCCUAAUUGUCUCAUAUA